UACAGAGGUGGCAAGCGUUGUUCGGAAUUACUGGGCGUAAAGGGCGCGUAGGCGGUUCGUUAAGUCCUGUGUGAAAUCCCCCGGCUCAACUGGGGAACUGCACAGGAAACUAGCGGGCUUGAGUUCGGGAGAGGGAAGCGGAAUUCCGGGUGUAGCGGUGAAAUUCGUAGAUAUUCGCAAGAACACCAGUGGCGAAGGCGGCUCACUGGCCCGGUACUGACGCUGAGGUGCGAAAGCGUGGGGAGCAAACGGG
rnacentral:rRNA from 1 species